ACGGGUGAGUAACACGUGGGUGAUCUGCCCUGGACUCUGGGAUAAGCCUGGGAAACUGGGUCUAAUACCGGAUAGGACCACUGAUUGCAUGGUUGGUGGUGGAAAGCUUUUGCGGUUCAGGAUGGGCCCGCGGCCUAUCAGCUUGUUGGUGGGGUAAUGGCCUACCAAGGCGACGACGGGUAGCCGACCUGAGAGGGUGAUCGGCCACACUGGGACUGAGACACGGCCCAGACUCCUACGGGAGGCAGCAGUGGGGAAUAUUGCACAAUGGGCGCAAGCCUGAUGCAGCGACGCCGCGUGAGGGAUGACGGCCUUCGGGUUGUAAACCUCUUUCGCUAGGGACGAAGCGUAAGUGACGGUACCUGGAGAAGAAGCACCGGCCAACUACGUGCCAGCAGCCGCGGUAAUACGUAGGGUGCGAGCGUUGUCCGGAAUUACUGGGCGUAAAGAGCUCGUAGGCGGUUUGUCGCGUCGUCUGUGAAAUUCUGCAACUCAAUUGCAGGCGUGCAGGCGAUACGGGCAGACUUGAGUACUACAGGGGAGACUGGAAUUCCUGGUGUAGCGGUGAAAUGCGCAGAUAUCAGGAGGAACACCGGUGGCGAAGGCGGGUCUCUGGGUAGUAACUGACGC
rnacentral:rRNA from 1 species